rfam:Fulvivirga imtechensis AK7 contig26, whole genome shotgun sequence.
GAUUUAUAAAGAAGCGUGGAGAGACUGGCUCUGAGAAACGCUAGCAACCUGGUCACCAAAUCCAAGGUGCUAAAUCCUGAUCCCGGGAAUGUUCGUCAAGUGACGGAUGAGGG